rnacentral:rRNA from 1 species
AUGCCAUGUAUGAGAUGUUUUCCUGGUGCACUUGCUGCUGUCAUGUGUCUCCUGUGUGCUUGGUUCAGUGAUUUUGCUCAUCUCAGAAUUAAGUCCAUCUUCUUUCUUAUGGGUUGUUUGUUCACUGUGCAUAUUUCUGUGGAGAAUCAUUCUGCCAUGGCAAGGCACCUCAUGGGUGCUUGUGCAAAGGCUGAACUAAGCCUGGAAAAUAUAGGCAAAUCACAGCACAAAAUUGUCCUUGGUUUCUCGGAAACUACUCCCUCCGUUCCUAAAUACUCACUCCGUUUUUAUUUACUCUGCAUAGAGAUUUCAAUACGAACUACGCCUUUUUAG